rnacentral:tRNA from 1 species
UGCCCGGUCGUCUAAUGGUAGGACGCCUCGCUCUGGACGAGGUAAUCGGGGUUCAAAUCCCUGCUGGGCAA